rnacentral:rRNA from 1 species
GUCCAGACUCCUACGGGAGGCAGCAGUGGGGGAUAUUGCACAAUGGGGGGAACCCUGAUGCAGCGACGCCGCGUGGGUGAAGGAGUGCUUCGGCAUGUAAAGCCCUAUCGGCAGGGAAGAAGCAAGACGGUACCUGACUAAGAAGCCCCGGCUAACUACGUGCCAGCAGCCGCGGGAAUACGUAGGGGGCAAGCGUUAUCCGGAUUUACUGGGUGUAAAGGGGGCGCAGACGGCGAUGCAAGCCAGGAGUGAAAGCCCGGGGCCCAACCCCGGGACUGCUCUUGGAACUGCGUGGCUGGAGUGCAGGAGGGGCAGGCGGAAUUCCUGGUGUAGCGGUGAAAUGCGUAGAUAUCAGGAGGAACACCGGUGGCGAAGGCGGCCUGCUGGACUGCAACUGACGUUGAGGCCCGAAAGCGUGGGGAGCAAACAGGAUUAGAUACCCGCGUAGU